UACACGCUGUGACUAGCAUAUCAAUAAGCGGAGGAAAAGAAACUAACAAGGAUUCCCUCAGUAACGGCGAGUGAAGCGGGAAGAGCUCAAAUUUGAAAUCUUGAAAGGUCACCUUUCACGAAUUGUAGUUUAAAGAAGUGUUUUCUGUUACGAUCGUAAUAUAAGUUCUUUGGAAUAGGACAUCACAGAGGGUGAGAAUCCCGUCUAUGAUUGCGAUUUGUAGCUUUGUGAUACACUUUCAAAGAGUCGGGUUGUUUGGGAAUGCAGCCCAAAACGGGAGGUAAAUUUCUUCUAAGGCUAAAUAUUGGCGAGAGACCGAUAGCGAACAAGUACCGUGAGGGAAAGAUGAAAAGAACUUUGAAAAGAGAGUUAAAUAGUACGUGAAAUUGUCAAAAGGGAAGCGUUUAACACCAGUGUUGUUUUCUGAAAAUCAACCUCUGUUAGCUUUAUGCAUGUUUGUUUAGACCCAAUCAGCUAUCUUUCAUGUUCUAUUGUUUGCAGUGGUGCACUUUUCAGUUUACAGGUCAACAUCAGUUUUUUUUACCGUAAAAAAGUUAAAGAAAGGUAGCUCAUGGCUCCGGUCGUGAGUGUUAUAGUCCUUUUCCUAUGCGGUAGGAGAGACUGAGGUCUGCAGUGUAGGCUAUUUGGCUAGAUACUCAGGUGCUAUGUGAUACCAUUUCAUAAACAACUUGUUGAUUAUGUUUUGUCUAUUGCAUACUCGCUUGUACUAUCAUACCUACGCUUAGGAUGUUGAGUAGCGACAUACGCAC
rnacentral:rRNA from 1 species